rnacentral:rRNA from 1 species
GACGAACGCUGGCGGCGUGCUUUACACAUGCAAGUCGAACGAAGUGGCGAACGGGUGAGUAACGCGUAAUCAACCUGCCCUUCAGGGGGGGACAACAGUUGGAAACGACUGUUAAUACCGCAUACUGAAGGACGGGAUUGCGGCUGAUUAGCCAGUUGGGGGGGUAACGGCCCACCAAGGCGAUGAUCAGUAGCGGGUCUGAGAGGAUGAACGGCCACAUUGGGACUGAGACACGGCCCAGACUCCUACGGGAGGCAGCAGUGGGGAAUCUUCCGCAAUGGACGAAAGUCUGAUGGAGCAACGCCGCGUGAGUGAAGAAGGUUUUCGGGUCGUAAAGCUCUGUUGUUAGGGAAGCGGUAUCUAACCAGAAAGCCACGGCUAACUACGUGCCAGCAGCCGCGGUAAUUC